UACGUAGGGUGCGAGCGUUGUCCGGAAUUACUGGGCGUAAAGCGCACGUAGGCGGCUAUUCAAGUCGGGGGUGAAAGCCCGGGGCUCAACCCCGGAACUGCCCUCGAAACUAGGUAGCUAGAAUCUUGGAGAGGUCAGUGGAAUUCCGAGUGUAGAGGUGAAAUUCGUAGAUAUUCGGAAGAACACCAGUGGCGAAGGCGACUGACUGGACAAGUAUUGACGCUGAGGUGCGAAAGCGUGGGGAGCAAACAGG
rnacentral:rRNA from 1 species